rnacentral:tRNA from 1 species
AAAAAAAUCAGCUAAUUAAGCUUAUAGACUCAUAUUCUAGAAAUGAAAGAUUUACCUUUCUUUUUUU